AACGACUCUUGACAACGGAUAUCUCGGCUCUCGCAUCGAUGAAGAACGUAGCGAAAUGCGAUACUUGGUGUGAAUUGCAGAAUCCCGUGAACCAUCGAGUCUUUGAACGCAAGUUGCGCCCAAAGCCAUUAGGCCGAGGGCACGUCUGCUUGGGUGUCACGCA
rnacentral:rRNA from 1 species